GGAGCUAUAGUAUAGUGGUUAUUAUAUCGGAUUCCAAUCCACUUCGUUUCAGAAGUACCAACUGCCAUCCGAGGGUCGCCUGUUCGAUCCGGGCUAGCUUCA